AUGCUUAGCAUCCUCCGUGUCGUCCGAGAAGUAAAAGGAAAUACUGCAGCUUUCUGGACUGCAUACCCUGCUCCCUGGAGAGGUUCCACCCACCGGCUGGAAGGAGAGGAAGUGAAUGAAAGGACAGGAGGAGCCCGAACACCAUGUCACUCUGGAAGGGAGACAGCAGCAACCAGGCUGUGCAAGGUUGUUUUGUUUUGUUUUCUUUUCCCCUUUCUCUUUCUUUUUUUUUUUUCUUUUUCAUUUUUUUGUUUUCUUUCUUUCUUUCUUCUUUCUUUUUUUCCCUUUUUCUUUAAGGUGGGGAAAGAGACAAACAGGAGACAGGAAGCUGAUCUGCAAGGAUUCGGAGUUGUGCUAAAAAGACUUUGAUUUUUUUCUUCUCUCCCUCUUUACAAACGCUGGCAAUUGACAUCACUACAGACAGCCUGGGUAGAGAACAAAGUGCCUCAUCCCAAGUGGACCCUGGCAGCUGGGGGAAGGAAGGCAGGAUCUGGGAAGGCUGUGUGUGUGUGUGUGUGUGUGUGUGUGUGCGCGCGUGUGUGUGUGCGUGUGUUGUUCUACCAAUACCUUUCCUUUUUUCUUUCUUUCUUUCUUUCUUUCUUUCUUUCUUUCUUUCUUUCUUUCUUUCUAUUUUUUUGGUGUGUUUCUUUUUUAAAUUCCUGCCGUGUUGGAACUAGUGAGUGGUGGAAGACGAAGGAUCUCUGAAGCCUCAUCAGUCAUCGGGACCAUCAGGAAUAGUGGUUUAAGAGGACGCUCGGCCUGGGGCACCAUACCGUGUCAUCGAGUUCCCUGCCUCGGAGAUAAAGAUUCCAGCUACAUGGGUAAACGCCUGGAUCAGCCACAAAUGUACCCCCAGUACACUUACUACUAUCCUCACUGUCUCUAAACCAAGGUAUGGCUCGACCCACAGUCUGGCAAGCAGUGUGUAUCCUGCACUUGGGAUGGGAAACAGGCAUGUGGAUUAUUAUUUACCUCCCCUUUCCCAUCACCUCUUCCUGCUUCUUUGAAAUUAGUAACAUAGCAAUGGAGUUAAUGAGGCAGAGGAGAAUAUGAGAAGAAAGCAAGCCCUGGGACUGUGGUUUUUCUCUUCUAGCAGAGAUAAUAGUUUCGCUCGUGUUCCUUUGUUGUUAUUUGGCAACAUAAAGAUGUUCCUGAUAUCCGUAGUAAAGUGCUUUGCAGAUGGACAGGGUUGUUAGAAAGGAGAUUGUGACAGUGAUUAUCAGGAACAACAACGAUUUCAGAGGCUUUUCUGGUGAGCUGUUCUUUGUGGCUCUGAAAGGGUUUUUCUCACUGGAUAGGAUGCACCAGGGUGGGGGCAACUCAGACUUUCAAUCACAGAGUAUAGAAUGAAAGAAGGGUGUGGGAAGGU
rnacentral:lncRNA from 12 species